rnacentral:rRNA from 1 species
CCCUUAGAGUUUGAUCCUGGCUCAGGACGAACGCUGGCGGCGUGCUUAACACAUGCAAGUCACGGGGGGUAGCAAUACCAACCGGCGAACGGGUGCGUAACACGUGAGCAACCUACCGAUUUGCGGGGGAUAGCCGGCCCAACGGCCGGGUAAUACCGCAUACGCUCGAGGGGAGACAUCUCUUUUCGAGGAAACCUCCGGGGCAGAUCGAGGGGCUCGCGGCCUAUCAGCUAGUUGGCGAGGUCAUGGCUCACCAAGGCGACGACGGGUAGCUGGUCUGAGAGGAUGGCCAGCCACAUUGGGACUGAGAAACGGCCCAGACUCCUACGGGAGGCAGCAGUGGGGAAUCUUGCGCAAUGGGCGAAAGCCUGACGCAGCGACGCCGCGUGGGGGAUGAAGGGUUUCGGCUUGUAAACCCCUGUUGCCCGGGACGAACAACCCUUUUCGAGGGGUGUGACGGUACCGGGUGAGGAAGCACCGGCUAACUCCGUGCCAGCAGCCGCGGUAAUACGGAGGGUGCGAGCGUUGUCCGGAAUCACUGGGCGUAAAGGGCGCGUAGGUGGCGACCCAAGUCAACGGUGAAAGCUCGACGCUCAACGUCGAGUCGGCCGUCGAUACUGGGUGGCUUGAGCACUGUAGAGGCUAAUGGAAUUCCGGGUGUAGCGGUGGAAUGCGUAGAGAUCCGGAAGAACACCGGUGGCGAAGGCGGUUAGCUGGGCAGUAGCUGACACUGAGCGCGACAGCGUGGGGAGCAAACAGAUUAGAUACCCUGGUAGUCCACGCCGUAAACGAUGGGCACUAGAUGCUUGGGGAGCGACCCCCUGAGUGUCGUCGC